rnacentral:ncRNA from 17 species
GCCGCCAUGGUGAAAUUGGUAGACACGCUGCUCUUAGGAAGCAGUGCUCAAGCAUCUCGGUUCGAGUCCGAGUGGCGGCA